rnacentral:rRNA from 1 species
UACGGGGGGGGCAAGCGUUGUUCGGAAUUACUGGGCGUAAAGGGCUCGUAGGCGGCCAACUAAGUCAGACGUGAAAUCCCUCGGCUUAACCGGGGAACUGCGUCUGAUACUGGUUGGCUUGAGCGUGGGAGAGGGAUGCGGAAUUCCAGGUGUAGCGGUGAAAUGCGUAGAUAUCUGGAGGAACACCGGUGGCGAAGGCGGCAUCCUGGACCACAACUGACGCUGAGGAGCGAAAGCCAGGGGAGCAAACGGG